rnacentral:rRNA from 1 species
GACAAACAUUAAGCCAUAAGCGAAAGCUUGACUUAGCUAGGGCUAAAAGGGCCGGUUAAACUCGUGCCAGCAACCGCGGUUAUACGAGAGGCCCAAAUUGACGCACCACGGCGUAAAGUGUGAUUAGAGACAAAAAAGUACUAGGGCCGAACGCCUCCUAUGCUGUCAUACGCUACGGAGGACACGAAGCCCCACAACGAAAGUGGCCCUAUGGACCUUGAACUCACGACAGCUAAGGUACAAACUGGGAUUAGAUACCCCACUAUGCUUAGCCUUAAACCAAGGUGAUAAACCCACACCCUUCACCCGCCAGGGAACUACGAGCCCCAGCUUAAAACCCAAGGGACUUGGCGGUGCCUCAAACCCACCUAGAGGAGCCUGUCCUGUAACCGAUAAUCCCCGUUGAACCUCACCCCUUCUUGCCAAUCCCGCCUAUAUACCGCCGUCGCCAGUUUACCUUAUGAAGGAACAACAGUAAGCAAAACGGGCAAUACCCAACACGUCAGGUCGAGGUGUAGCGAAUGGAGGGGGAAGAGAUGGGCUACAUUUUCUGAUAACAGAAUACUACGAAGGGCACAGUGAAAAAUGUGCAGUCGAAGGUGGAUUUAGCAGUAAAAAGGAAGAAGAGAGCCCUUUUGAAACCGGCCCUGAGGCGCGUACACACCGCCCGUCACUCUCCUCGAACAACAAAAUGACAGUACAUAAAAACUUAGAAAAAUAGAGAGGAGGCAA